UACGUAGGUGGCGAGCGUUGUCCGGAAUGAUUGGGCGUAAAGCGUCCGCAGGUGGCAAUGUAAGUCUGCUGUCAAAGCGUCUGGCUCAACCAGAUAAAGGCAGUGGAAACUACAUAGCUAGAGUAAGGUAGGGGUAGAGGGAAUUCCUGGUGUAGCGGUGAAAUGCGUAGAGAUCAGGAAGAACACCGGUGGCGAAAGCGCUCUGCUGGACCUUAACUGACACUGAGGGACGAAAGCUAGGGGAGCGAAUGGG
rnacentral:rRNA from 1 species